rnacentral:rRNA from 1 species
GACGAACGCUGGCGGCGUGCCUAAUACAUGCAAGUCGAACGCAGUUGGUACAGGUGAGUAACACGUGGGUAACCUCCCAUCAGAGGGGAUAACACUUGGAAACAGGUGCUAAACCGAUACUGUUUGCUGGACCCGAUGUGAAUUAGCUAGUUGGUGAGGUAACGGCUCACCAAGGCCACGAUGCCUAGCAGACCGGAGAGGGUGAUCGGACACACUGGGACUGAGACACGGCCCAGACUCCUACGAGAGGCAGCAGUAGGGAAUCUGCGGCAAUGGACGAAAGUCUGACCGAGCAAAGCCGCGUGAGUGAAGAAGGUUUUCGGAUCUUAAAAAUCUGUUGUGAGAGAAGCGGUAUCUAAACAGAAAGCCACGGCUAACUACGUGCCAGCAGACGCGGUAAUAC